rnacentral:rRNA from 7 species
UUAAAUUGAAGAGUUUGAUCAUGGCUCAGAUUGAACGCUGGCGGCAGGCCUAACACAUGCAAGUCGAGCGGUAGCACAGAGAGCUUGCU